CCUACGGGUGGCAGCAGUGGGGAAUAUUGCACAAUGGGGGAAACCCUGAUGCAGCGACGCCGCGUGAGCGAUGAAGUAUUUCGGUAUGUAAAGCUCUAUCAGCAGGGAAGAAAAUGACGGUACCUGACUAAGAAGCCCUGGCUAACUACGUGCCAGCAGCCGCGGUAAUACGGAGGGGGCGAGCGUUAUCCGGAUGUACUGGGUGGAAAGGGAGCGUAGACGGCGCGGCAAUGCUGAAGUGAAAGGCCGGGGCUUAACCCCUGAACUGCUUUGGAAACUGCCAUGCUAGAGUGCUGGAGAGGUAAGUGGAAUUGCUAGUGUAGCGGUGAAAUGCGUAGAUAUUAGGAGGAACACCAGUGGCGAAGGCGGCUUACUGGACAGUAACUGACGUUGAGGCUCGAAAGCGUGGGGAGCAAACAGGAUUAGAUACCCGUGUAGUC
rnacentral:rRNA from 1 species